rnacentral:tRNA from 1 species
GGCUGGGUAGCUCAGUUGGUCAGAGCAUACGGUUCAUACCCGUAGUGUCGGCGGUUCAAGUCCGCCCCUAGCCA